rnacentral:tRNA from 1 species
GCUGCGGUAGCCGAGUGGUUAGCGCUGCGUACUAACAUUCGGAAGGCCCGGGUUCAUAUCCCGGUACCAGCAACA